UUUUGCAGCUCCAUAACAUCUCGGUGAACCACUACUGGAUGUGGCGUCGACUAAGCACUACACAUGGCUUGCUCGCCGGCACGCGCGUGCAUGCUUCGAUGCGCGGCGCUUCGUCGAGCUGGACGGACCGUGGCAAUCGCUGGAGCCAGAGCUGGAGGAGGCGACGAGAUGCUGCUGCUGCGGCUGUGUCCUCGGAGGCAGUUGCUGCCCCUCGCCGACCUCACCAACCUCCGGCGUCCGCCAUGAGCUCCCCGCAGGACCCCUUCUACAUCGUCCGGGAGGAGAUCCAGGGCUCGAUGGGUAAGCUGCAGACUACGUUCCAUCGUUGGGAGCAAGUUUCUUCAAACCUGAUUACUUUGUCAUCAGGCUGGCUGAUUGCAUCCAGCUCAAAUUGUUCCACAUUUCUAGCUUAAGGGUUCCACUUGCACAUGAUGGCCCCCAACUCCUUAUGGCAAGCAGUUUCUCCAGCUGACAACAAGUGCUCAUGUAGGUUAAUUAUUAAGCAUACGAGAACAUAUUCAUGAAAGUUCUGUUAGUAGGUGGAUGGCUUCUAGUUCUAAAUGAUUUGGAAGCUGGGAAUCUGGGGAAUGCGAAGUUGAAGAGACCUGGAGUAUCUAUACUGUGAUUGCCAUUGUAUAUGUGUUAUAUGAUCAUGUAACACAAUGAUUCUGCUAUUGUAUCUUUGUUGUAUGAUGUAUCAAACUGAUUCUGGAUGUUAUGUGAAGUACUACGUGUGUUCUCUAUCUGUUCCCAUUUGA